rnacentral:rRNA from 1 species
CUACGGGCGGCUCCAGUGGGGAAUAUUGCACAAUGGAGGAAACUCUGAUGCAGCAACGCCGCGUGGAGGAUGACACUUUUCGGAGCGUAAACUCCUUUUAUAUAGGAAGAAGAUGACGGUACUAUAUGAAUAAGCGCCGGCUAACUCCGUGCCAGCAGCCGCGGUAAUACGGAGGGCGCAAGCGUUACUCGGAAUCACUGGGCGUAAAGAGCGUGUAGGCGGAUUAAAAAGUCAGAAGUGAAAUCCUAUAGCUUAACUAUAGAACUGCUUCUGAAACUCUUAAUCUAGAAUAUGGGAGAGGUAGAUGGAAUUUCUGGUGUAGGGGUAAAAUCCGUAGAGAUCAGAAGGAAUACCGAUUGCGAAGGCGAUCUACUAGAACAUUAUUGACGCUGAGACGCGAGAGCGUGGGGAGCAAACCGGAUUAGAUACCCCGGUAGUU